GGGGGUAUUUAACCCCCCAUAAUUCGUUCGAAUAAAUCGAACACUAGCGGAGUAUUUACUUGAUCAUGGUGUAAGGGGUUUAGGGUUAAUUGCGAAUAGUUUGGGGGCACGAAUCCGCAAUAUUUGAAUAGCCAUUCGUUUGAAUAUAUCAAAGAUUAAUCUGAGAAUGUAAUGUAUGCUUUUAGCAUGGUAUGAUUCAUUAUUUUCAUUGUUGAACUCGUAUGGGGUUAGGCGAUUAUUAGGGUUAAGAAUAGUUUUAGGGCGUGCAUUCCACAUACUUAAAUUGGAAAGGAAGCUGUGGGUGUUAAUGGCCAUUUACCGAAUAUUUAAAUCAUCAAAGAUUAAUCCGAGGAUGUAACUGCUUUUAGUGGGAUUAUGGAACUCAUAAUCCAAUGCUUCACACAUAUAUAUCCUCCAGCACGUAGACUGUCACUGUAUAACCGUGAUGUAUAUAAUAUGUACCUUGGUGUAUGAUUUAAAUUGAUAGGGGGUGGGAAGUAGCUUGUCAUGAAUAUGGC